GUCUAUGGCCAUACCACCCUGAACGCGCCCGAUCUCGUCUGGUCUCGGAAGCUAAGCAGGGUCGGGCCUGGUUAGUACUUGGGUGGGAGAGUUGAUGCUGGAAUGAGUUAAGACUUUAGGAGUUGUUGGAA
rnacentral:rRNA from 1 species